GACGAACGCUGGCGGCGUGCCUAAUACAUGCAAGUUGAGCGAUGAAGAUUGGUGCUUGCACCAAUUUGAAGAGCAGCGAACGGGUGAGUAACGCGUGGGGAAUCUGCCUUUGAGCGGGGGACAACAUUUGGAAACGAAUGCUAAUACCGCAUAACAACUUUAAACAUAAGUUUUAAGUUUGAAAGAUGCAAUUGCAUCACCCAAAGAUGAUCCCGCGUUGUAUUAGCUAGUUGGUGAGGUAAAGGCUCACCAAGGCGAUGAUACAUAGCCGACCUGAGAGGGUGAUCGGCCACAUUGGGACUGAGACACGGCCCAAACUCCUACGGGAGGCAGCAGUAGGGAAUCUUCGGCAAUGGACGAAAGUCUGACCGAGCAACGCCGCGUGAGUGAAGAAGGUUUUCGGAUCGUAAAACUCUGUUGGUAGAGAAGAACGUUGGUGAGAGUGGAAAGCUCAUCAAGUGACGGUAACUAACCAGAAAGGGACGGCUAACUACGUG
rnacentral:rRNA from 1 species